rnacentral:rRNA from 4 species
CGUCACACCAUGGGAGUGGGUUUUACCAGAAGUGGCUAGUCUAACCGCAAGGAGGACGGUCACCACGGUAGGAUUCAUGACUGGGGUGAAGUCGUAACAAGGUAGCCGUAUCGGAAGGUGCGGCUGGAUCACCUCCUUU